rnacentral:sRNA from 1 species
GAACAACUGGAAGGAGGUGGUCGAAUGUCUCAUUGUUACACGCCGCUCGUGGCAAACCUGAUGAGUGCGACCCCCGCUGGCGGGGCUGUCCAGCUCUAAGGAUUAAGCCAGUAGUGGCUGACAAUGGAAAGGCCGCCCCUCCCGGGGCGGCCUU